GACGAACGCUGGCGGCGUGCUUAACACAUGCAAGUCGAACGGAAAGGCCCUGCUUUUAUGGUGUGCUCGAGUGGCGAACUGGUGUGUAACACGUGGGUAACCUGCCCUUUACGUUAGGAUAACUUCAGAUAGCUGUGGCUAAUACCGGAUAGGAGCUCCUGCUGCAUAGUUGGGGUUGAAAAGUUUCGUCGGUUGGGGCUGUACUCGCGGCUUAUCAGGUUUUGGGUGGGGUAGUGGCUUACCUAGGCUUUGACGUGUAGCCGGCCUGAGAGGGUGACCGGAAAGACUGGGACGGAGCUAAGGAACAGACUAAUACGGGAGGGAGGAGAGGGGAAGAGUGCACAAUGGGAGGAAGGCUGAUGCAGUAAAGCCGCGCGCGGGAUGACGGCAUUCGGGUUGUAACCUGAUUUCCCCUGUGACGAAGAGUGAGUGACGGUAAUGGGUAAAGAAGCCCCGGCUAACUACGUG
rnacentral:rRNA from 1 species